CAGCCGCCGCGGUAAUACGUAGGGUGCGAGCGUUAAUCGGAUUUACUGGGCGUAAAGCGUGCGCAGGCGGCCCGUUAAGACAGGUGUGAAAUCCCUGGGCUCAACCUAGGAAUUGCGCUUGUGACUGGCGGGCUCGAGUACGGUAGAGGGGGGUGGAAUUCCUGGUGUAGCAGUGAAAUGCGUAGAGAUCAGGAGGAACACCGAUGGCGAAGGCAGCCCCCUGGGCCUGUACUGACGCUCAUGCACGAAAGCGUGGGGAGCAAACAGGAUUAGAUACCCUGGUAGUCCACGCCCUAAACGAUGGGUACUAGCCGUUUGGUGCGCGAUAGCGCUGAGUGGCGAAGCUAACGCGAGAAGUACCCCGCCUGGGAGUACGGCCGCAAGGUUGAAACUUAAAGGAAUUGGCGGG
rnacentral:rRNA from 1 species